rnacentral:rRNA from 1 species
UUGAACGCUAUGAUGUUUACACAUGCAAGUGUCGAACGGCAGCACGGACUUCGGUCUGGUGGCGAGUGGCGAACGGGGUGAGUAAUGUGUAUCGAACGUGCCUAGUAGCGGGGGGGAUAAUCCACGCGAAAGCGUAGCUAAUACCGCAUACGCCCUUCGGGGGAAAGCGGGGACCUUCGGGCCUCGCACUAUUAGAGCGGCCGAUAUCGGAUUAGCUAGUUGGUGGGGUAACGGCUCACCAAGGCGACGAUCCGUAGCUGGUUUGAGAGGACGACCAGCCACACUGGGACUGAGACACGGCCCAGACUCCUACGGGAGGCAGCAGUGUAAUGGAGCAUCGGGGGAAACCCUGAUCCAGCCAUCCCGCGUGUGCGAUGAAGGCCUCAAGUUGUAAAGCACUUUUGGCAGGAAAGAAACGGCAGGGAUAAUACCCCGUGCAACUGACGGUACCUGCAGAAUAAGCACCGGCUAACCACGCCAGCAGCCGUAAUACGUAGGGUGCAAGCGUUAAUCGGAAUUACUGGGCGUAAAGCGUGCGCAGGCGGUUCGGAAAGAAAGAUGAAAUCCCAGAGCUUAACUUUGGAACUGCAUUUUUAACUACCGAGCUUGUGAGUGUGUCGAGGGAGGUGGAAUUCCGCGUGUAGCAGUGAAAUGCGUAGAUAUGCGGAGGAACACCGAUGGCGAAGGCAGCCUCCUGGGAUAACACUGACGCUCAUGCACGAAAGCGGGGGAGCAAACAGGAUUAGAUAAUUCUGGUAGUCCACGCCCUAAACGAUGUCAACUAGCUGUUGGGGCCUUCGGGCCUGGUAGCGCAGCUAACGCGUGAAGUUGACCGCCCGGGGAGUACGGUCGCAAGAUUAAAACUCAAAGGAAUUGACGGGGACCCGCACAAGCGGUGGAUGAUGUGGAUUAAUUCCGAUGCAACGCGAAAAACCUUACCUACCCUUGACAUGUCUGGAAUCCCGAAGAGAUUUGGGAGUGCUCGCAAGAGAACCGGAACACAGGUGCUGCAUGGCUGUCGUCAGCUCGUGUCGUGAGAUGUUGGGUUAAGUCCCGCAACGAGCGCAACCCUUGUCAUUAGGGUUGCUGCUGAAAGGGCACUCUAAUGAGACUUGCUGGUGACAAACCGGAGGAAGGUGGGGAUGACGUCAAGUCCUCAUGGCCCUUAUGUAGGGCUUCACACGUCAUACAAUGGUCGGGACAGAGGGUCGCCAACCCGCGAGGGGGAGCCAAUCCCAGAAACCCGAUCGUAGUCCGGAUCGCAGUCUGCAACUCGACUGCGUGAAGUCGGAAUCGCUAGUAAUCGCGGAUCAGCAUGUCGCGGUGAAUACGUUCCCGGGUCUUGCGCCAUACCGCCCGUCACACCAUGGGAGUGGGUUUUACCAGGGUAGUUAGCUCAACUGUAAGGAGGGCGAUUACCACGGUAGGAUUCAUGACUGGGGUGAAGUCGUAACAAGGUAA